UAUCCCAGUGCCUGCCUCCUGGAAGGCAGGAAGGAAGAGGAAGCAAGAGAGAGCUUACCUUCUUCCCCAGAGCUCCCUGGUCUUGAGUCUGAGGGUCUCUCACGUACCCCUGAAGGCCUCUCCAGACACGGUAGCCCAAGCAGUGGCUGGCCUCUCGUUGCCAGCAGCCACUCUCAUCCUCAGUCCCUUGAUGUCCCUCCCUCACCUCCAGGUCACUUGUACUCUGUGUGUGUGUGUGUGUGUUUCUGUGUGUGUGUGUGUGUCUGUUUCUAUGUGUGUGUCUGUGUGUUUCUAUGUGUGUGUUUGUGUCUGUGUGUAUGUUUCUGUGUGUGUGUCUGUUUCUGUGUGUGUUUGUGUGUGCGUUUGUGUCUGUGUGUGUCUGUGUGUCUGUUUCUAUGUGUAUGCCUGUGUGUUUCUGUGUGUGUGUGUUUGUGUGUGUGUGUCUGAGUUUCUGUGUGUGUGUGUCUGUGUCUAUGUGUGUGUCUGUGUGUUUCUGUGUGUGUGUUUGUGUCUGUGUGUUUCUGUGUGUGUGCUGUGUGUGUGUCUGUGUGUAUGUGUGUCUGUGUGUGUAUGUUUCUGUGUGUGUACCUAUGUGUUUCUGGGUGUGCAUUUGUGUCGGUGUAUAUGUUUCUGUGUGUGUGUGUAUGUGUCUGUGUCUAUGUGUAUGCCUGUGUGUUUCUGUGUAUGUGUGUGUGUCUGUGUGUCUGAGUUUCUGUGGGUGUGUCUGUGUCUAUGUGUGUGUCUGUGGGUUUCUAUGUGUGUGCCUAUGUGUUUCUGGGUAUGCAUUUGUGUCAGUGUGUAUGUUUCUGUGUGUGUGUCUGUGUGUUUCUGUGUGUGCGUUUGUGUCUGUGUGUAUGUUUCUGUGUGUGCAUGUCUGUGUGUCUGUUUCUAUGUGUGUGCCUGUGUGUUUCUGGGUGUGCAUUUGUGUGGGUGUGUAUGUUUCUGUGUGUGCGUGUCUGUGUGUCUGUUUCUAUGUGUGUGCCUAUGUGUUUCUGGAUGUGCAUUUGUGUAAAUGUGUAUGUUUCUGUGUGUGCGUUUGUGUCUGUGUGUAUGUUUCUGUGUGUGCAUGUCUGUGUGUCUGUUUCUAUGUGUGUGCCUAUGUGUUUCUGGGUAUGCAUUUGUGUCAGUGUGUAUGUUUCUCUGUGUGUGACUGUGUGUUUCUGUGUGUGCGUUUG
rnacentral:lncRNA from 1 species